rnacentral:SRP_RNA from 1 species
CCCGAGUGGGCAAAGUUCCUCAUUGAGGAGUCGGAGUCCCGGAUCUCGGUCUCGCCAGCCUUGGACGUCUGGAGUGUCGGCAUGACCAUCUGCGAGCUGGUGACGCUGGAUGCUGUCCUAAAGCCCAUGUACGCAAACUUCCUGCGGAAUGGGAGGUCACACCGCGAGGCUGGCUUC